UGAAAUAUGGAUGCCCUUGAGGUCGAUAGCUUCUCCAAGCUGGGAGAGGGAGGAGAGGGAGCAGAGAGCGGAGAGGCGGAAACAAAGAGUCCACAGUUACACAAAGCGCCCAAAGAAGAGAGUGAGGAGGACGGGAACGGAGGCAGAGCGGAGACAAAGGCAGACAGGGAGGGGCAGGGCGGGAGAGGAUAGGAGAGGGGAGAGGGAGAAGGCACGGACCCCCGAGUGACAGACAAGGCACCUCGUGACUCAGAGCCCAACAGAUGCCAAAAAAGUCCUAGCACGCACCCCCUCCCCAGAGAGGCCUUAAAUAGAAAGCGGAGUGACACACCCCCUUCUUCCCGCGACAAGUUAGAGCACAGCAGCUGGAAAGAGGACGCGGAACCGAUGGCCCUGGGAACCGGGUCGGAGAAACUGACAGAGGAGAUUAGAAACCCGCACAGAUCGGGAGGAGAGACUCCCAGACACAGAAGCAGAGCGGCGGAAAGGAGAGGAGCGACGCGCCAGGCUGUGCUUAGACAGGAGCAGUGAAAUAAAAGAUGUGAAAGUACUUUACAAGAAUGAAUCUGGAUGCCUCAUACACUUCCUGUUGUACGACCUUCACAACCAGUUCAUUUUGCAGAUAAAGGAGACCAAAGAUCAAAGGAGGGAAGGCUGUGUGAGGAGGUGGUUGUCUACAAGCCAGGGAGAGAGCCCUCACCAGCAACUGACUCUGCCACCACCUUGAUCCUGGACUUCUGUCUUCCAAAAUAGGGAAGCCACCUGCCUUUCCUUGAGAAACUCAGAUAGUCCUGUAGAGAGGCCCACUUGACAAAGAACUGAGACCACAGUCCAACCAUUAGGAAUGGAGGCCUUCCAACAACCAUGUGGGUGAACUUGAAAGUGGAUCCUUCAACCCACUGGAGCCUUGAAAUACUGCAGUCCCAGUCAACAGUUUGACUGCAGCCUGAGAACCCUCUGUCAGAAUCUCCCAGCUAAGCCCCUCCCUCAGAAACCAUGGGACUCGUGGGUCUUGGUGGCACUAACAGGUAACUGACACGGUUGGUCUCCAUUUUAGGAUUCUCUUAAAUCUGUAGGUUUCUGCUCCAUCUCUCUCCCUUUUCAACUUAUGUAUUGAAGAAACACAAUGGUUUGUCAGGUAAAUACCCUCGCUCUCUGGAGUCUCCUGAUUACACCUCCAUGAUAGUGUUUCACCAUAUUCCUCUUGCCUCUGUUUAUCCUGUAGACUGACAAUUCAAUCUACCUGCCCUGUCUGAUAUGAUACUGUGAUAUAUGGAGUCAUAAGAAACACGUAUUUGGUCAUUCAGAUGACCAAAUACGUGUUUCUCGGGUACAUUUGGUCUUCAUCCACAGUUCCUGAAAACACUGCAGUCUUAAAGGUGAAAUGGAUGUCUUGUCACGUUAAUGAGAAACUUUUGGACCCCCACCCAAAAGUGGGGGCUGGAGGUUAAAUCAGUCAAUGGUCCAUGAUUUAUUCAAUCAUGACUAUGCAAUGAAGCCCUCACAAACACCUCUGAGAAGAGCAUCUCUCUCUUGGAUCCAACUUCUCUGUUGGGGAGAGCUUCCAAGCUUGGGGAAGGAGAACGCGUCCACAUGCCACGGAACCAGGCCCCGAGCUCCACAGGGAUAGAAGCUCCUUUAUUUGGGACUAACCCUAUGUAUCCCUUCAUCUAGCUGUUAAGUUGUAUCCUUUGUUAAACUGAUAAAUGUGUUUCCCCGAGUUCUGUGAGCAGCUUAGCAAAUUUAUAGAACCUAAGGGGUAUGUUGUGGGAACCUCCAAUCUGUGAUAGUUCAGAAGCACAGGCAACUGCCUGGGGCUUACAACUCGUGUCUGGAGUCAGGGGGUGGAGGGCAGUCUUGUAAGAUGGAGCCUUUAACAUGGGGUGUUUUGUGCUGUCUCUGGGCAGAUAGCAUCAGGAUCAUAUUGAGCUCUCGGACACCCUGCUGCUGUUUGAGAAUUGCUUGGUGUUGUGUGUGUGAGAAGACCCCACCUCACGCACACACACACACACACUGGAAUCGUGUCCAGGGACGGGAAAGGCAUUAUACUAAGUGUAUACUAAUACUAUUAUUGUUGUGUGGGAAAAAAAAACACAGGUAGCCAUUAGCCAUGUGUGGUUGUGGGCACCUGAAAUAUGGCUGAUGCAACUGAGGAUCAGAGCUUUUUAUUUCAUUUAAUUUGAGUUAAUUUAGAUUUUAAAAUGGAUAAUUGAUCCAGUUAUUGGAAAACUUUUAGGUACAUUCAGAACAACUUUUUCAGUUGUGAAUCUACUUCUUCACUUGAGAAUUUUAUAAGUUUUAAAUAUGGAUCAAGCAUUUCCAAUGGAUGUUUAGUAUCCAAAUUGAACUAUGGCCUAAGUGUAAAAUACAAACCAGAUUUCAAAGACAGUCCAGAAAGAAAGUAUGGAAAAUGUCUCAUUACUAUUUUUAUGUUGAUCACCUAUUGAAAUAAUAUUUUAGACAUAUUGGACUAAAGAAAACAUUAUUAAAUAUAAUUUCACCAGUUUCUCUUUGCCUUUUGAAAGUGGUUACUACUAGAAAGUUUCAAUUAUAUAUGUGACUCCCAUUAAAAUUCUUGCUAGCAGGUUGCACUUUUUGGGAAACACUUUGGUAGGUGAUGUUGCAUUUUUUCCAUUAAAGACUCAAAUCUGGUUGUCUUGUUGGAAUCUUAUCAGGCAUUGAUGCUCAAGACUUUAAAUCCAGUCAAUUUGUACGGGCUGCAAAAUGUUGUUCGUUUUACUGGCUGGAAUAUACCUAUAAAAGGAAACCUCUCCUCUGCUGUAAUCACCCUGAAGCACAGCUUAUGAAGAGAAGACAGAACAAGUGCUUAAACUUUCCCUGUAUUUGUUAAUUCUCAAAAUGAUGAGUCAGUUCCUCAGCAUCUUUCGAUGGCGAUCAAUUAUUGUUUUAAAAACUCUCAUGAACCAAUGGGUUUUAAAGAUGUUUGAUGUGAUACAAUCCAAUGCAAACACUGUCAUUAUUAAUGCUCGAGUUAUCAAGCUGUCUGGAUAAAUUGGUGUUUUAA